rnacentral:rRNA from 1 species
AUGAGCAUCAGCUCAUAGCGUAUAUUAAAGUUGUUGCAGUUAAAAAGCUCGUAGUUGAAUUUCGGGAUUUGUCAGKUGGUCGGGCUUARCUGUCCGUAUUGACUCGAUGGAUUCUUACCUUCUGAAUAACCAGCAUGCUAUUAAUUUAGUGCGUUGGGGAAGCAGAUCUWUUACCUUGAAAAAAUUARAGUGCUUAAAGCGAGCUAGUGCUUGAAUAGAUUAGCAUGGAAUWAUAAAAUAGGRCGGYAUGGUUYUWUUUUGUUGGUUUCUAGGAYCACCGYAWUGAUUAAUAGGGAUAGUYGGGGGCAUUAGUAUUCAAUUGKCAGAGGUGAAAUUCUUGGAUUUAUUGAAGACUAACUUCUGCGAAAGCAUUUGCCAAGGAUGUUUUCAUUAAUCAARAACGAAAGUUAGGGGAUCSAARACGAUMARAUACCGUCGUAGUCUUAACCAUAAACUAUGCCGACUAGGAAUCGGACGAUGUUAAUUUUAUAAUGACUCGUUCGGCGCCUUACSGGRAAACA